GCGAAGGUGGCGGAAUUGGUAGACGCACCAGAUUUAGGUUCUGGCGCCGCAAGGUGUGGGGGUUCGAGUCCCCCCUUUCGCACCA
rnacentral:tRNA from 1 species